UCCGAUUUGUCAUCGGCAGUCCCAAUAAAGUGCCCAACUAAAUGAUGGCAAUUAUUGGCAAGGGUUGCGCUCGUUGCGGGACUUAACCCAACAUCUCACGACACGAGCUGACGACAGCCAUGCAGCACCUGUGUUACGGUUCUCUUUCGAGCACCAAUCCAUCUCUGGAAAGUUCCGUACAUGUCAAGGCCAGGUAAGGUUUUUCGCGUUGCAUCGAAUUAAUCCACAUAAUCCACCGCUUGUGCGGGCCCCCGUCAAUUCAUUUGAGUUUUAAUCUUGCGAUCGUACUCCCCAGGCGGUCAACUUCACGCGUUAGCUGCGUUACUCAUAGAUUUUACUCUACCAACAACUAGUUGACAUCGUUUAGGGCGUGGACUAC
rnacentral:misc_RNA from 1 species